AUGAGCUGCUUCCAACUUCCCAUUGGUACGUGUAAAAAAUUUCGUCAAAUCAUUUUUGAUGAAUGGUGGGGUAGGGAAGAUGGAAGGAAGAAGAUUCACUGGCGUUCUUGGGAAUUGUUAACAACACCAAAAGCUCUUGGUGGAAUGGGUUUUCGCGGCAUGGCACUGUUUAACCAAGCUAUGCUCGGCAAGCAAGGGUGGUGUCUUAUCAUAGAGCUGGAUUCUUUAUGUGCUAGGGUAAUUGAAGGGAGAUAUUACCCUCAUGGUGAAUUCCGGACUACGACAGCACCACGAUCAGCUUCCUUCACUUGGCGGAGUAUUUUACAUGGACGUGAGCUAUUGAAAAAAAGGAAUUUGUUGGGGUAUUGUUAA
rnacentral:rRNA from 1 species